CGACGCUGACAGAAAAGAGGGAGAGCUGAGAGAGUUGGAAGGAGAGGAAGAAGAACAAAGAAGGCGAAGAGGUUGAGUGGGAGCCGAUUACUUACAUGCGAGGUUGGAUUUGGAUCAAGCAAAAGAAAGUGGCUUUAAAGGCAAGAGUGUGGUGAUUGUGGGAAAUUGAGAAGGUUGGAUGGCGAACUGAUUGGUACGGCUGGUCAUCAAUUUAUGCUUUGUAGUUUGAACUUAUAAUUUUUGAUUAGCCAAAAAUGGCUACCACUCAAUGCAUAUAAAUAUGUAGAUAUGUAAUUAUAUGAAUCUAUGGAAUGUAAAUUCCUCUAUAAAGAGGAAGUUAUGGUUCUUGAAAUUGACAAAUGAGUGCCAUCUGCUUUGAUGGCCAGGUGGGGGAAGAUUAGUAGUGUUAUCAACUUACUAUACUAUCAAA